rnacentral:rRNA from 1 species
CGAUAGGUGACCUGCGGAAGGAUCAUUA